ACAUACGCUCAUUCAUUGUUAACAGGUUUUCUUCUUUGCAUUAUUUUCAGUUGGAAUUCCAUGUGCAGAACUUUUUCAUGUUGCCUUCCCUCGCGUUUUAAUCGCGUUUAACCUCAAGCAGACGAACGAAAUUGAAUAUUGCUGUAUUUGAAAAUUAAUUUACUCUAUUAAAAAACACCGUUAGCGCUUGAAACUAUUUUUUUUCGAAAAGAAUAUAAUGUUUUCUUGAUAUAUAAUUUGACUAUUCGGUAAGCAUUUUAGGUAAUAUUUUUUGCAAGAAACUGCUGACGCCAUAUAUGGCUGUAUAUGCAGCCAAGUAGUCAACAUUAUUUCUACUUAUGUAUGUGGGAAGCAAUCCUGUUUCAACAAAAAAGCGAUACAGUAAGAAAGACAAAAAGUAUAUAGAAAUCGAGUCUCCUAAGGCAGUUGAUGUUUACUAUCACCAUAUGGGUGGCGUUGAUUUACUUGAUUCUUUACUGGGACUUUAUAGAAUUCAAUUGCGUUCAAGAAAAUGGUAUAAAAAAUUUUUUCCACAUGAUUGCAUGUGCGUGGUUAAUUCGUGGAUUUUAUACCGUCGCAGGAAAAGUAAAGAAGCGCGGGCGUCCUGGGAUGACUCCAACUGCAUCGCCGACUACAAGCAGGGAAGGUACUCCUUCUACCAGAAAGCAAAUGAGGCACCAGGAUUUUCCCUUUAAUUCGGUUCGAGAGGACACAAUUGGACAUUUGCCCACUUGAAAAAAAAAAUAGGAAACUCUGCCAAAACGAUUGUUCCUUCCGAUCAUUCACCUUUUGCGAGAAAUGCAAUGUAUUUUUAUGUUAUAAUGAGAAAAGAAACUGUUUUGCCGGCUUUCACAUGAUUGCAUAGAAAGCCAUAUAUGGCAAACUUUGAAA